GCUCCUUCCACUGCAUGUGAACUGUAUACUUGCCUGAAACAUCCAUUCUGUCUGUCUCAGAAGAAGCCCCAUUCAGCCUGUUGACUUCGAGCCUGCUGUAUCCCUGCUACUCAUCUGUAUGAGGAAGCCCCAUUCAGCCUGUUGACUUCGAGUCUGCUGUAUCCCUGCUAUUCAUCCGUAUUUAGAAACCCUGCACAGCCUGUUGACUUAGAGUUUGUUGCAUCCUUGUGGCCCACCUGUGCUGAGAGAGGUGACUGUCCUUUGUCACGAACGUGAGAGGGGCACGCUUUGUCUGGAAUAUCCACUCUGACGGUGUCAGGAGAAGCCACCUUACUGUAAGACCGUGCACCUGCCGUAUACGUACUUGACUGAUAUCAUUCGCCUCAAAUUCCGUACCUGUGGAAGAAGGAAGGAAGGCUGGAAUUACAUACUUACGGGAGGAGACUUACCGGACCCCUCACUUGCCAAACACAUCCCCACCUCAAGGCUGUGUAUCUGCCGUGUACGGACCUGACCGAUAUCCAUCCGUCCCAAAUUCUGCAUCUGUGAAGAAGGGAAGGGAGUUUGGAAGUAUUUAAUUACCAGAGGAGACUUACCAGACUGCGGGCUUGCCGAUUGUAUUCCCACCUGUGAAAUACCUACUUGACCACCCAUCUGUCCAUCUAUUGCGGGGCCCGCACAGAGGAAGAGGGCGGGAGAGUCCCCGGUCGCUGCAUUGUUUACCUUCAAGCCCUGAGGGUAACAAAGAAGAUUUUAGUUUAGGAUUCCCAAUUUGUUUUUACUUCAAAAUAAAACUUGUUAAAUUUA